AAGUAGAAGGCUGAGCAUAUAUGUGCAUUAAAUUAAAUAGCCAUAAUAUGGUGAUAUAACAAGGAAUCCGUGUUCUCACAUGGAAAGCAACUGAACCUUCAACUAGCAACACUAUAAGAAGGGCUGAGCAAGUGAUCACAUAGCCAAACAAAAGUUUGUCGGGAUGUGGAGGGGUUAGAGGCUUUUCUUCGCAAUGUUGGAAGGCUUGACAUCAUAGGUGUUAGUCCGCGACACAUAACGAUACAAGCGAGACUACUAGCAUAUCAAUGAUAGUAGUGGUAUCUAGGGAAAUGAUCAUCUUGCAUGGGAUCUGCUUGGAAGAAGAACGAAUCUAUGAAGUAGAUGAACCAACAUAGUCGAACAACUCCUCACACUCCAAAGCGAUUUUGGAACUCUAUCGAGAAGAAACAAUCCGGAAACAAUCAAUCAACACACGAUAAAAACAAUAACAUUUUUAUGACAUCAUGUGCAGACAAAUAUGCUGCAUGUUCGGAUU
rnacentral:lncRNA from 1 species